GACGAACCGUGCGAACGUUGUUCGGAAUCACUGGGCUUAAAGGGCGCGUAGGCGGACUUGAUAGUCCGCGGUGAAAGCCCCCAGCUUAACUGGGGAAGUGCCGUGGAUACUGCAAGUCUGGAGGAGGGUAGGGGCAUCUGGAACGCUGGGUGGAGCGGUGAAAUGCGUUGAUAUCCAGCGGAACUCCGGUGGCGAAGGCGAGGUGCUGGACCCUUUCUGACGCUGAUGCGCGAAAGCCAGGGGAGCAAACGGG
rnacentral:rRNA from 1 species